rnacentral:rRNA from 1 species
AUUGAACGCUGGCGGCAUGCUUUACACAUGCAAGUCGAACGGCAGCGCGGGCUUCGGCCUGGCGGCGAGUGGCGAAUGGGUGAGUAAUAUAUCGGAACGUACCCAAGAGUGGGGGAUAACGUAGCGAAAGUUACGCUAAUACCGCAUACGAUCUAAGGAUGAAAGCAGGGGAUCGCAAGACCUUGUGCUCCUGGAGCGGCCGAUAUCUGAUUAGCUAGUUGGUGAGGUAAAGGCUCACCAAGGCAACGAUCAGUAGCUGGUCUGAGAGGACGACCAGCCACCCUGGAACUGAGACACGGUCCAGACUCCUACGGGAGGCAGCAGUGGGGAAUUUUGGACAAUGGGGGCAACCCUGAUCCAGUAAUGCCGCGUGAGUGAAGAAGGCCUUCGGGUUGUAAAGCUCUUUUGUCAGGGAAGAAAAGGUCGUGGCUAAUAUCCACGACUGCUGACGGUACCUGAAGAAUAAGCACCGGCUAACUACGUGCCAGCCGCCGCGGUAAUAC